UACGUGUACAACAAGCAAAAUUACAGAUGCGAGAGCGACUCCCAAAACCCGGAUAAUUUUCCUCAGAAGACGAGAUUAUGACAGAACUGGGCAUUAUCCUGGUCACAAGGCCCAGAACUGCAGAGGAGAAGGAUGAUGUGCUAGUUACUUGAAUCUAAACAGGAAUUUGCAGCUACUCAUCCUGAUGGUUUCUGAUGGAACCAAGAAGGAGCAACAAGUUCAGAUGAACGGUAAGGCGGUGGAGCAGUAGGUACAAGUUCAGAUGUCCGCAGGGAUGAUAGUCACCACGUAACACACCCUGUAUGCUGCAACUGCAGAGAGCUGAGGCUUGUGAAGUUGGAAGAAGAAGACCCGAUCAAAUUCUCUACUGAUCAGGGCAUGGCACACUGGUUCAGAUGAUCAAACCGUCAUUACCGUACCGCAGUGUCUUCAAUUGUGAGCAGUUUGAGACGGUGACUCAUCAGGUGAUAUGAAGAUUUCAUAAUGCACAAGGGCAAGGUCUGUUUGAUCUAGGCAUCCUCUUGAAUGCUCAGACUUCCCCUACAAGGUCACUGACGGAUCUCAGCUUUUUAUCCAGUGUCGUCACAUCCUUAGCCAAUUCUAACAAGAAGUCGGAAGAGGGCCCUAAUCAUUCACAACAGGGCAUACAUAUAUCGAUUCAGAUCGAAUUGGAUGGGUGGAGGUUUUUCAACUUACUCUACUGAAAUAUGGUCAUGAACAUACUGAAGAAGACAGAAGAGGACUCUAGUCAUUCACAACAGAUUCUCCAUCUCAGACCCUACAAAUCAUAUCGAAAGGGGACCAGGAUGUACAAGGAGGAGACAAUGUCUCAAAGGCUUUUGAUGCUCUCACCAAGGCACUCAUUACAUCAGGGGACUCAGAAGCACUGGGUUUCAGAUAUAUGCUCCAUCUCAGACCCUACAAAUCAUAUCAAAUGAUGACCAGGAUGGUUAAGGAAGGGACAAUGUCUCAAAGGCUGUUGAUGCUCUUACCAAGGCACAUCAGGUGACUCGGAAGCAGGAUGUUUAAGGUGCUGAUCCGCAAUACUGCCCUCUCCUCUACUACGUCUUCAACAGGGCGCCCUCUCUGUCAACACUCCAUGGAUAUUGACUGUUAUGAGAAAUGCUACUUUCAACCUUCAGUCUUGGCCCAGCAUGAAGGAGACAUUGGUUUGUACAAACAAGCCAGGAUGAUGUGAUCAAAGGGUUGCAACUUCUUUCUACCAUGGCCCAGCUUGGAGAUAUUGGAACAAGCUUGGAUGACGUGAUCCAAGGGAUCCAACUUCUUUCUACCUGCAGUCUUGGCCCAGCUUGAAGGAGACAUUGGGACAAGCCAGGAUGACGUGAUCAGAGGGAUGCUGCUUCUUUCAACCCGCAGACUUGGCCCAGCUUGAAGGAGACAUUGGUUUGUACAAACAAGCCAGGAUGACGUGAUCAGAGGGAUACAACUUCUUUCAACCCGCAGACUUGGCCCGACAUGGAGAGAAAUACUUGAGGGGGUAUCUCACUGAGCGGCAAAUGCUUGCAAAUGUUGUGAAAUUGUGAUUCACCAGCUUUUCUGACAAGUGAUGCAAACUCUUACAAAUGUUUGUAGUUGGUAUAAAUAUUUAUAUUUACAAACUGCUUCAAAACAGUUUAAUCAGUGGGUUGAAUUCAUACAGGAGCCAUGUGGUUGCCAGCAUAUGCGAAUCGAAAUUACGACUGUUUUGAAAAACAUCUUCAAAAUGUCUUUUUGACAAGAAAAACUGUUCGCAACAAUGAAAACUGUUUACAAAGUUUCUUGCAAUCUUUUACAAGCCCCGGUAAAAUCUCAAUUUUGCUAUGUUUACAAGCAUUUGCUGCUCAGUGAGAUAUGCCCUUUAUUGAGUGCAUUCAAAAUAAUGUGUGACCUGCCACCACAAAAACCAACAAUUAUUAAUCCAAUAUGAAUUUUGAAAAUUUUCUCAUGCUCGGGAAAGCACAUUUCAAAACUUUCAUACAAUCUAUGAUUUGUCAAAAUUGAUCAAGAAUAACUCUCACAAGUACUUGAGUGUAGAAGAAGUUCAUUGAGAGCUUUUAAAUAUAAGGGGGGAAAAGGGUUUGAAGUUCAGAAUUAACUCAAGCAUGAGAUUUUUUUUUCAUGUUAAAAUCUUGGUUAAAAUUCAUGGUAAAAACUUUAAUUAAUUUAACAUUUCAAUUUCAAAAUAUGACAGUAUGAACAAGAGGAAUUACUUUUCAGAUACGCCAAUACUUCAGUAUUUAUUUUUUGAAGACCAAAUUAUUGUUUUAGCCGUUUACAGAGAACUUUCCUUAGUGAUAUAUUUUUGGUUGUUUGGUUGGCUGGUCACAUAUAUGUCUGGGCCCAUUUCAUAAAGUCUUCCUAGUUAACUUUGCCAUUAUGGUAACUACCAUGGAAACCUUGAUUGUGAUUGGCUGCUGAGCCCUGUUACCAUGGUAGUUGACAUAAUAACAAAGUUACCAUGGUUAUAAUUCUUUAUGAAAUGGGCCUAUCAAUUAUUUGACUUUACCCCUCACUUGCCAUAUGUAUUAUCCCAUUUGCACAAUUUUUGACUUGCGAAAAAGUGUGAUUUGUUGACUUUAUGGUACAUGACUAGAGAAAGUGGGCAGUUUCCACUUCCCUCUUUUUUAUUGAAAUUAAGGCCACAUUUGAAUGAUUUAAAACAGAAUGCUGCAAUACAAAAAAGUUCAUUUACCGAAAAUCAGGGAUUUGUGUAAAUAGGAUAAUACAUAUGGCCAGUGAGGGUGUUCAUAAACCCCCUAUUUUAUAUUUUAUAUGAUGACUCUUGUGUAGCUCAAAGGAGCAGGUCCAAGCUAUCUGUUUGCUGACAGUUCAAAAGUAUCUGUAUAAUAUGUUGUUUCAUUAAUAGACACGUACUAUGCAGGGCAUGGAUACUAGGAGUAAAAUUUGAUUUACAAGAUUGGAAAUGUUUUGCAAGUAUUUUAGAGGUGUAGAAUUAUGAUGGUGUGGUAAUUACGCCUAGUAGUAGAUAUUUGUGGAUUUAACUUAAUAGUGUGCAUCUUUCUCAUGAUGAAUUUAGUGUUUUUGUAAACUUUGUGUUGAGCUAUUCUGCAAAAGUGGAUCCAAAGGUUUUCCAGAGUUUUUGCCUAUUGAGUUUUAUCUCUGGUUUUUUACCCUGGACCUACUUGUCGUAGAAUUGUUCAACACAAAGAUUUACCCCCCCCCCCCAACACUUUCUGCAGCGCGAAAUUGUUUUUUACCAUUGUAGUAUACUCAGUAAAUCAGAGACACUACAACAUGCAGAAUUUUUACUGAAAUUUUUAUUCUUAAACUUGCAUAUCUUUUUUGAGACCAAAUUUACGAUAUCUCUGGAAAGCGAUUCCGAAAUUAUGCAAUAUUUUGUGAGUGCGCGUCGGACAAAAAUUGGUCAAAACCAGAUUUUGUAUACAAAUUCAAUGCUUAAGGAAUUUUCUUACCUUAUUCAAUGUGCGAUUACAUUCACUUUCAUUAGCUAAAAUUGAUUUGGCAUCAUACACAUCAAAGUGUUUCUGCAUGAGACUAAAAAAAAUUAAUGAAAUGAUAUGCUGGCUGCGUUUUCAUUGCAACUACAUGUAUAUUCGCAAAAUGUUGAGGGGGAUUCAGCGGUCAUUCGAUGACUGAUGAGGAUUAGUUUUCUGCACCGCCAAAUUGUCUGUCCCGUUUUCAUUGUCGCAAUAACUUAACAAUGGAUCAAAUUGAAACUUGGUUAAAGUAUGGAUAUGGUAGUUAUGGUCUUCAUACGUACAAUGGAGGGACAUUAAUUUGAUUAGAUGUUGGGGUCACAAGUUGGAAGCUCACAAAGGUCAUUGUUUUAACUGAAAAUAUCUUGUUCUCUCAAUAGGAACCAUUUGAUGGUUCAACUUCAAACUAUUUUGUUUGUGCAAAUGCACGUGACAAAGAUCUGAUUAGAUUUGUAGGUCAUGGGGUCAAAGGUCUGAGAAUUAAAUAUCUUGUUCUCAAAAUGAUUGAAAAGCGUAUUUCCUGUACGCAUUUUGGAAGUACAAUUUUUUGUGAUAGUACAUGUAUAAUAAAUUUAGUAAGUAUUAAAUAUGAUGAUAAAAUAUGUUUGAGGGAUCAAUUUCAAAUUUGGCUCGAAUGUGCAUUUAUGAGGAAGGGUCUGAUCAGGUUAUUUGGUCACAAGGUCAAAAGUCAUACAGGUCAUAAAUUAAAAUUUUAGAAGUUAGAUUUGUAAUAUGUUCUUGGUCAGGCAAUGAUGGAGGCACACAUUUUUACUGCCUGCAAUUAAAGAAUUGUAUCUAGUUUUCCUCAAAUUUUCCAUACAUGUAGUCCCAGUAAUAAAUGGUGCCAGUUAUUGUUUCUCUUUUUUAGGAAACUCAAUCCACAGUAUACAGGGAGAGGUCUAAUGUUAGAAGGUGCUUGAAAGUCCUUUUAUACUGUCAGAUUAUAAAAGAUUUUUGAAAAGUUUAUAAAUCUAGCAAAACUGAUCAGAUCAAACAUUAAGUCGUUGAUGCGCACAUGAUUUGUAAUGUGUAGUCUCAUUGACUCACGCUAUUGAGCAUGUCUUUUGAGUGUGAUCCAACCAAUAAUAUGGUGAUCCAAUAUUUUUCACGUGCGAAUGGAAAUUUAAGAGCAAUCAUUAGUCACUCUUGAAAUCUUUGUGGAACACUUUUGUGAUAUUUCUCUUACAGUACAUGUAAUAUCAGAUAGCUUGGACCUGCCCUAUAGUGUAUUAUUGUCUGUACUAUAUACUUGUUUUGUAUUCAUGAUUUUAUCCUUUUUUUUGAACAAAUUGUAAGACCAGCAGCCAAGAAGAUUCAUUCAAGUUGGAGGACCAUAGCAGUUGACCUCAUCCCAUUGAUGGCAGUAGGCCCUGAUCACCUCGCAAACAUGGCUUCCUGUCUGGUUUGAGCUGGAAUCUUCCUGCCAGAAUCACACAAUUAGUGAUGUCACUACCAAGAGAUCUCUUUUUAAGUGUGCAGAGAAGGGCACUGGACACUGCUGUGCAUGAUAUACAACUUCCAUAAUGUAAGUGCUUUAUUGAUGAUUUCAAUGAUAUCUUUGGUAGCCUAGAGUAUGCAAGACAAUGCAAACGGUUUUCCAGCAAUUAUAGUAUUCUGAGGGCAACUACUAUUCUGAAAAUAUUGGGCAGAAAUAUCUAAAUUGCACUUUUAAAUUCAUGACAUUUUCUUUUUGGAAUGAAAUUCUUUUCAUGAAAACCCGUCAAAACAAUACCAUUACUCCACCCUCCUGCCCUCAUGUUUCACUCUCUUUGGUUUCUCCUUGAGUAUUAUCUGUUCAUCCAUGAAUUGCAGUCUCUCUUUUACCUCCCUGUACUAACCACUCUAGCUGUCACUCUGAAUUCAUCUUUUAUACACCCUCUCAACAUGUUAUUCACCAUGACUGAUAUAAUAAUGUGCUAUAAAUGCAUAUGCACAUUCUUUAAAAAGGCAAUUUGUGAUUACAUUUACAUAUUUCAAUCAUAUUAUUUGUUAAUUACAGUACCACAUGAGAAAGUGGUAUUAAUAAUUUUACAAUAUAAUUCCCUUUUCUGUACAUGUUAAUUUUUUGGGACGGACUAAUUUGAAUGAAUUUUUCGAUCCUCUCCCCGGUCGCUAUAAACCUCAUGUUUUUGCAAGCAUGUAUUCAUCAGGUUAUCACACAAUGUGUAGAGAUAAUGGACUGCUGCUUGGAAUGAUGUGAUUUGUGACCCAAUAUCGGUUCGUCUGCCCAAAUAUAUGUAUUCACCCAAAAUCAAAAGUAAAGUAUCAGGUUUUCACCCAUUGUUAUGAGGAUUGUACACUUCAAUGGUUGUUCCACAAUGUGUAAAAAGGGGGGACAAAAUUCCAAAUCAAACCUACCAAUACAUGUUAGUCUUGUAUCUAGUUUCAGGAGCACAAUGUCAAAAUGUCAGUUGCUUUUCAAGGAAUUUUACAGGAGAGUUGCUUAUUCAGUAUUUCGUGUUCACCCUCAUCGAUAUUUGCAAUUGGUCUUUUGCACGUUUGUCAAGUUUCAUCAAUGGAGCAGUUUAGCCAAGACGACUGUGGGGCUCAGAGGCAUUGAUUAAGACUGAUGGACCCUGAAAUGACGGGGGGGUACUAUGGCCCCCGUCAACGCUUCGUGCGAUAUUUCCGAAACGCAAAAAAAUAAUGGCACAGAAUUUUAUGAUUUUUUUCUCUUGCAAAUUUUUUAGACCAAAUUCGCAGCAAACGGGUAUAGCAUCAUGACUUUUUAUGAGACAAUGUCAUGCCGAAAAUGGCUCAUUUUUAUACUUAGUGUACUAAGUCAAUGUGAGAUGAAAUUCAUAAAAGGAUGAUGAUUUUUCAUUGUAAUUGAUCGUUGUAAUUUCGGAUUUCAUUUAGUUGUUAAAUGGUCUGUAAUAAUUUCCAUU